rnacentral:tRNA from 1 species
UCCCUGGAGGACUAGUGGUUAGGCCACGGAGCUCUCACCCCUUGCAGCCUGUGUUCGAUUCCCAGCCAGGGAA